GCACAAGCGGUGGAGCAUGUGGUUUAAUUCGACGCAACGCGCAGAGCCUUACCAGCCCUUGACAUCCCGGUCGCGGACUCCAGAGACGGAGUUCUUCAGUUCGGCUGGACCGGAGACAGGUGCUGCAUGGCUGUCGUCAGCUCGUGUCGUGAGAUGUUGGGUUAAGUCCCGCAACGAGCGCAACCCCCGUCCUUAGUUGCUACCAUUUAGUUGAGCACUCUAAGGAGACUGCCGGUGAUAAGCCGCGAGGAAGGUGGGGAUGACGUCAAGUCCUCAUGGCCCUUACGGGCUGGGCUACACACGUGCUACAAUGGCGGUGACAAUGGGACGCUAAGGGGCAACCCUUCGCAAAUCUCAAAAAGCCGUCUCAGUUCGGAUUGGGCUCUGCAACUCGAGCCCAUGAAGUUGGAAUCGCUAGUAAUCGUGGAUCAGCAUGCCACGGUGAAUACGUUCCCGGGC
rnacentral:rRNA from 1 species